rnacentral:rRNA from 1 species
UUGACGGGGGCUCACACAAGCGGUGGAGCAUGUGGCUUAAUUCGAGGCUACGCGCAGAACCUUUUCCUGGGCUUGACAUGCACGGAUUAGCCGGCGGAAACGUCGGUGAGGCCGCAAGGUACAACGUGCACAGGUGCUGCAUGGCUGUCGUCAGCUCGUGUCGUGAGAUGUUCGGUUAAGUCCCGUAACGAGCGAAACCCCUGUGGCCAGUUGCCAACGCGUCAUGCCGGGGACUCUGGCCAGACCGCCGGCGUUAAGCCGGAGGAAGGCGGGGACGACGUCAAGUCCUCAUGGCC